rnacentral:piRNA from 1 species
UNCAAGCAAGCACCCACUUUCAGGAUGCACA